rnacentral:rRNA from 1 species
AGAGUUUGAUCAUGGCUCAGAUUGAACGCUGGCGGCAGGCCUAACACAUGCAAGUCGAACGGUAACAGGAAACAGCUUGCUGUUUCGCUGACGAGUGGCGGACGGGUGAGUAAUGUCUGGGAAACUGCCUGAUGGAGGGGGAUAACUACUGGAAACGGUAGCUAAUACCGCAUAACGUCGCAAGACCAAAGAGGGGGACCUUCGGGCCUCUUGCCAUCGGAUGUGCCCAGAUGGGAUUAGCUUGUUGGUGGGGUAACGGCUCACCAAGGCGACGAUCCCUAGCUGGUCUGAGAGGAUGACCAGCCACACUGGAACUGAGACACGGUCCAGACUCCUACGGGAGGCAGCAGUGGGGAAUAUUGCACAAUGGGCGCAAGCCUGAUGCAGCCAUGCCGCGUGUAUGAAGAAGGCCUUCGGGUUGUAAAGUACUUUCAGCGGGGAGGAAGAGAGUAAAGUUAAUACCUUUGCUCAUUGACGUUACCCGCAGAAGAAGCACCGGCUAACUCCGUGCCAGCAGCCGCGGUAAUACGGAGGGUGCAAGCGUUAAUCGGAAUUACUGGGCGUAAAGCGCACGCAGGCGGUUUGUUAAGUCAGAUGUGAAAUCCCCGGGCUCAACCUGGGAACUGCAUCUGAUACUGGCAAGCUUGAGUCUCGUAGAGGGGGGUAGAAUUCCAGGUGUAGCGGUGAAAUGCGUAGAGAUCUGGAGGAAUACCGGUGGCGAAGGCGGCCCCCUGGACGAAGACUGACGCUCAGGUGCGAAAGCGUGGGGAGCAAACAGGAUUAGAUACCCUGGUAGUCCACGCCGUAAACGAUGUCGACUUGGAGGUUGUGCCCUUGAGGCGUGGCUUCCGGAGCUAACGCGUUAAGUCGACCGCCUGGGGAGUACGGCCGCAAGGUUAAAACUCAAAUGAAUUGACGGGGGCCCGCACAAGCGGUGGAGCAUGUGGUUUAAUUCGAUGCAACGCGAAGAACCUUACCUGGUCUUGACAUCCACGGAAGUUUUCAGAGAUGAGAAUGUGCCUUCGGGAACCGUGAGACAGGUGCUGCAUGGCUGUCGUCAGCUCGUGUUGUGAAAUGUUGGGUUAAGUCCCGCAACGAGCGCAACCCUUAUCCUUUGUUGCCAGCGGUCCGGCCGGGAACUCAAAGGAGACUGCCAGUGAUAAACUGGAGGAAGGUGGGGAUGACGUCAAGUCAUCAUGGCCCUUACGACCAGGGCUACACACGUGCUACAAUGGCGCAUACAAAGAGAAGCGACCUCGCGAGAGCAAGCGGACCUCAUAAAGUGCGUCGUAGUCCGGAUUGGAGUCUGCAACUCGACUCCAUGAAGUCGGAAUCGCUAGUAAUCGUGGAUCAGAAUGCCACGGUGAAUACGUUCCCGGGCCUUGUACACACCGCCCGUCACACCAUGGGAGUGGGUUGCAAAAGAAGUAGGUAGCUUAACCUUCGGGAGGGCGCUUACCACUUUGUGAUUCAUGACUGGGGUGAAGUCGUAACAAGGUAACCGUAGGGGAACCUGCGGUUGGAUCACCU